CUGUCGCACCCGUGGCAGAUCUCCGACGAGGAGGACGACCGCGUGACCACCGACGAGGAGGACGGGCACGCAGUCACCAGGCACGGGCGCGCAGCCACCAGGGACGCAGGCACGGCUUCUCAUCGGAAGGAGAAGAAGAGCACGCGCGGCUGCCGGCUGGACGGACGACCGCGCGACCACCAACGAGGAGGACGAACGCGCAGCCACCGGAGACGCAGGCACAGCAGCUCAUCGAAAGAGGAGAAGAGCACGCGCGUCUGCUGCCGGCUGGACGGACGACCGCGCGACCACCGACGACGAGGACGGCCGCGCAGCCACCGGGGACGAUGCGGCUCGAACGACGACGACUAG
rnacentral:misc_RNA from 1 species